rnacentral:rRNA from 1 species
CAGCAGCCGCGGUAAUACGGAGGAUCCAAGCGUUAUCCGGAAUCAUUGGGUUUAAAGGGUCCGUAGGCGGUCUUGUAAGUCAUUGGUGAAAGCCCAUCGCUCAACGGUGGAACGGCCAUUGAUACUGCAGGACUUGAAUUAUUGGGAAGUAACUAGAAUAUGUAGUGUAGCGGUGAAAUGCUUAGAGAUUACAUGGAAUACCAAUUGCGAAGGCAGGUUACUACCAAUUGAUUGACGCUGAUGGACGAAAGCGUGGGUAGCGAACAGGAUUAGAUACCCGAGUAGUCCCUGUCUCUUAUAC